GAUAUAUUUCCAGCGUUUGUCAGGACAUUUAUGACAGUCGUUUCUGGGGGUGUGGAUUGGGGGUGUAAAUGACUUGAGGAGAGGUUAUGGAUCUCUGCUGUGCAGUAAAAUAAGAGUCUUUAGUCGUCUCUGUUCUCAGGAGAAACACUGCUGACUGCUCAGCCACAGAAAACACAAACCACUGUUAAAUACAGGAAGUGCUGAUAACCAGCUGCCUCUUCCUUUCUCUGCGUCACUUUUUGCUGGAUGAACACUCGCUUCAGUCCCCCAGGCCCCCGACAGGUUUCCUCACUGCUUCGGUUUCGGGGUUCACAGAAUGAGACUACUGCUGCACAGGAAACUCUGCCGGGGGUUUUGAAGUGAAUCAGCCAUCUGAAGGGCAGACCAAUGGAAACCUGC